rnacentral:lncRNA from 1 species
AUGUGCUGGAGGAGUAAAAUCCUCAGAGCUCGCCUUGGAGUCCAGCAAGCAACACCAGGGUUUGGUUCAGUGGAACCAGUGCUGCUGUCUCCCUGGCAGAUCUGGAGAUCUUCAAGCUACAUGAAAUUCUUUCACCACAAGGCCAAGAGUGAGAACAAGGCUUCCCAUCACAUACGGGAAGGUGAAGCGUUCAGGCAGCUUGGCAGAAACUCAAGGGAACAGAAGAAUUAAGUGUAUUUUUUUUGGUGAAGUUUUGAGAUCCCUGUACAAAGUUUUGGAUUUGAGGUAAUUGCAUUAUCUAAACACAUGGGCUCUUCACACGUUUUCUUAGAGAGGCACUCCUGAUGCCAGGUCAGUGUCCCAGUGUGUCUGUGCAUGGAACAGAUUUUUAUGACAG